rnacentral:rRNA from 1 species
UACGUAGGGUGCAAGCGUUGUCCGGAAUUAUUGGGCGUAAAGAGCUCGUAGGCGGUUUGUCGCGUCUGCUGUGAAAACCCGAGGCUCAACCUCGGGCCUGCAGUGGGUACGGGCAGACUAGAGUGCGGUAGGGGAGAAUGGAAUUCCUGGUGUAGCGGUGGAAUGCGCAGAUAUCAGGAGGAACACCGAUGGCGAAGGCAGUUCUCUGGGCCGUAACUGACGCUGAGGAGCGAAAGCGUGGGGAGCAAACAGG